UACGUAGGGGGCUAGCGUUGUCCGGAUUUAUUGGGCGUAAAGAGCGUGUAGGCGGCCAGGUAGGUCUGGUGUGAAAACUCGAGGCUUAACCUCGAGAUGUCAUCGGAAACCAUUUGGCUAGAGUCCGGAAGAGGAGAGUGGAAUUCCUGGUGUAGCGGUGAAAUGCGCAGAUAUCAGGAAGAACACCGAUGGCGAAGGCAGAUCUCUGGGCCGUAACUGACGCUGAGGAGCGAAAGCAUGGGGAGCGAACAGG
rnacentral:rRNA from 1 species